rnacentral:rRNA from 1 species
AGAGUUUGAUCCUGGCUCAGAACGAACGCUGGCGGCGUGCUUAACACAUGCAAGUCGAGCGCGAAAGUCACCUUCGGGUGGCGAGUAGAGCGGCAGACGGGUGAGUAACACGUGGAUAAUCUGCCUUUAGGUGGGGAAUAACCAUUCGAAAGGAUGGCUAAUACCGCAUAAGACCACAUCACUUCGGUGAAGGGGUACUUCGGUGAAGGGGUUAAAGACUUCGGUCGCCUAAUGAGGAGUCCGCGCCUGAUUAGCUAGUUGGUGAGGUAACGGCUUACCAAGGCAACGAUCGGUAGCUGGUUUGAGAGGAUGAUCAGCCACACUGGUACUUAGACACGGACCAGACUCCUACGGGAGGCAGCAGUGGGGAAUAUUGCGCAAUGGGCGAAAGCCUGACGCAGCAACGUCGCGUGAGUGAUGAAGGUUUUCGGAUCGUAAAGCUCUGUCGGUGGGGAAGAAACUACUAUCGGAUAAUACCCGGGGUAAUUGACGGUACCACCAAAGGAAGCACCGGCUAACUCCGUGCCAGCAGCCGCGGUAAUACGGAGGGUGCAAGCGUUGUUCGGAAUUAUUGGGCGUAAAGAGCGUGUAGGCGGUCUAUUAAGUCUGGUGUGAAAGCCCGGGGCUCAACCCCGGAAGUGCAUCGGAAACUGGGCAACUUGAGUAUGGGAGAGGGUGGUGGAAUUCCGAGUGUAGAGGUGAAAUUCGUAGAUAUUCGGAGGAACACCAGUGGCGAAGGCGACCACCUGGCACAGUACUGACGCUGAGAUGCGAAAGCGUGGGGAGCAAACAGGAUUAGAUACCCUGGUAGUCAAAGCCGUAAACGAUGGGCACUAGGUGUUGCGGGUAUUUUACUAUUCGGUGACGCAGCUAACGCAUUAAGCACUCCGCCUGGGGAGUACGGUCGCAAGAUUAAAACUCAAAGGAAUUGACGGGGGCCCGCACAAGCGGUGGAUCAUGUGGCUUAAUUCGAUGCAACGCGAAAAACCUUACCUGGUCUUGACAGGUAGUAGAUCGCCCUAGAAACAGGGCUUCCCUUCGGGGAACCCAGUGACAGGUGCUGCAUGGCUGUCGUCAGCUCGUGUCGUGAGAUGUUCGGUUAAGUCCGGCAACGAGCGCAACCCCUAUCCUUAGUUGCCAGCGAGUAAUGUCGGGAACUCUAGGGAGACUGCCCCGGAAAUCGGGGAGGAAGGUGGGGAUGACGUCAAGUCCUCAUGGCCUUUAUGUCCAGGGCUACACACGUGCUACAAUGGGCGGUACAAAGGGUCGCGACAGCGCGAGCUUGAGCCAAUCCCAAAAAACCGUCCUCAGUUCGGAUUGGAGUCUGCAACUCGACUCCAUGAAGGUGGAAUCGCUAGUAAUCCCGGAUCAGCAUGCCGGGGUGAAUACGUUCCCGGGCCUUGUACACACCGCCCGUCACAUCACGAAAGUCGGCUGUACCGGAAGCCGGUGGGCUAACCUUCGGGAGGCAACUGUCCAUGGUAUGGUCGGCGAUUGGGGUGAAGUCGUAACAAGGUAACC